UGCAGUCGAGCGGAUUGAUGGGAGCUUGCUCCCAUCAGUCAGCGGCGGACGGGUGAGUAACACGUGGGUAACCUGCCUGUAAGACUGGGAUAACUCCGGGAAACCGGGGCUAAUACCGGAUAACUCAUUUCCUCGCAUGAGGAAAUGUUGAAAGGUGGCUUUUAGCUAUCACUUACAGAUGGACCCGCGGCGCAUUAGCUAGUUGGUGAGGUAACGGCUCACCAAGGCGACGAUGCGUAGCCGACCUGAGAGGGUGAUCGGCCACACUGGGACUGAGACACGGCCCAGACUCCUACGGGAGGCAGCAGUAGGGAAUCUUCCGCAAUGGACGAAAGUCUGACGGAGCAACGCCGCGUGAGUGAUGAAGGUUUUCGGAUCGUAAAACUCUGUUGUUAGGGAAGAACAAGUACCGUUCGAAUAGGGCGGUACCUUGACGGUACCUAACCAGAAAGCCACGGCUAACUACGUGCCAGCAGCCGCGGUAAUACGUAGGUGGCAAGCGUUGUCCGGAAUUAUUGGGCGUAAAGCGCGC
rnacentral:rRNA from 1 species